rnacentral:rRNA from 1 species
GGGGACUAAAGACCCAUGGAGCUGACCGGUACUAAUAAGCCGAUAAUUUGAUAACAC